AAUGCUGGUGAGGGAGUUCAGACAUUUUGGAGCAGAGGUGAAUCUAAAAGUUGCAGGAUGGCAACCCUGUAGGACUGGAGCUGGUGACCCCUGCGCUAGGCUAACACAUUAGCUUUGGUUGUAUUUGCUGCUGUAGUCCACUUCUUGUUUUUCAAACUGCACCAAAGCUCACUUAAACUGAACCAAACCCUGUGUGUGUGUUCAGGUUUAUUUCAUAAACACACAUCGGCCUCCUAAACCCUGAGCUGUUGCCAUGGCAACCUCAAUCUGCCGCACUGGAAACCAGAGAACCAGAUUGAUGAAUGAGCUUCCUGUCCUCCAGGCUUGCUUCAACCGAACCACAUGUGGAAAUAUCCUUAAACGUGAAGGAGCUGAAGUGGAACGAGCAAUUAGAAACUCCAUCAGGAAGAAGCCGCAGAGUUCAGCUGAGGCUCGGAUUAGCGCCGCUGCUGUCCGACUUUCUCUAAUGCAUCGUUAUCACAGCCAAGACCUUCGUUACCUGAUGUGAAGAAAACUUAGUCCUCCUGUCCAAAACCACAGAAUAUUCAGAACCAAAGCAACAGAAAACCUUCCCAACCAGAGGAAAGCCUGAAGGAGAGAAAAUCACAAUGCAAACUCAUGAAAGAUGAAACUCCAAAACACAAACGCAGCAGAAAAACACAAGAAAAAGAAGCAAAAAAAAAAAAAAAA